GUUUUAAUAGUUUAUAAAUAAAAUAUUGAUUUUGUAAAUCAAAGAAAAAAAAAUAAUUUUUAAAACU
rnacentral:tRNA from 1 species